rnacentral:rRNA from 1 species
UACAGAGGUCCCAAGCGUUGUUCGGAUUCACUGGGCGUAAAGGGUGCGUAGGUGGCCAGGCAAGUUUGGUGUGAAAUCUCCGGGCUUAACCCGGAAAUGGCAUUGAAUACUAUCUGGCUCGAGGUUUGUAGGGGGGACUGGAAUUCUCGGUGUAGCAGUGAAAUGCGUAGAUAUCAAGUGGAACACCAGUGGCGAAGGCGAGUCUCUGGACAUUUCCUGACGCUGAGGCACGAAAGCCAGGGGAGCAAACGGG